AGCUCUAUAGCACACAGCGACUAAGCUUGUCUGGAAGAGGUUAUGAAUCCUUCAUUGGGAAGUGACCUUGAAACUGGAUCACAUAGGAUUUCCAGAGGACAGAGGAGGAAAGAUUUCUACACUAAGAUAUCAGAUAUUCAAAAGCUCACAAGCAAGACACAAACAGCAGAACAACUUUUAUUGGAUGGAGCACAGACAACAUGGUCCCAUGGUAUAGGUGAGACUGGAAAGAUGGGUGACUUCGGACAGUCACCACAAAGCGUGGGAAUGAAUAUGUAGCCUAAAAUGUAAGACAUUUUAAAACAGUAUGAGAUACACCCGAGACUUUACAAGAACUGGGCUCUACGAAAACCCAGAACGAUGUGGACACCUACUGAUGUUUCAGAGGAUGGCCUCCAGCCCUGCAGGGUCACUCCCUGGAGACCCUGACAGCAGCUGUAGUGCUCUCUGCACCAGUUACACUUGAGUGGACCUGGGGAACUUAAUUUAGCAGCAGAGUCCAUCCACGCUUUGGAAAGAACCUGACUCAUUUUCCUUGACCAUGGACAUUAAGCAAUGCUGUCACUGCGUAUAUUAUAGACACAGCUGGAUGGAUCCUGAUUGUCUUAUACAGCAAUGUUUCAUCUCACAGUAGCACAAGCAGAGGCAAGAGGAAAAACUAAGCUGCCUCCAAAGCAGUUAAUGAGAACUGUGAAGAGUUCUCCUUUACACACUCUAUGGAAACUAUAGUGACAAAGAAAUGUGGAAGAACAAAGCAUGAGAAACCGGAUCUUCUGCACCGGGAUAAGAUAGAGUGAUGGAGUGAACCGGGCAUUAGUCUCCUGACAGACACUGUGUGAAAGAACUCCUAAAAUCUUUGGACUCCCCGAAGCGCUCUUACUCUGCUGGUGAGACGGCUGCCAGCUGCUAGGUAGCUUCAGAAAGGGUCUGGGCACAGGAAAGACCAAGGCAAGAGAAGAUUCGAACUAUCAGCCCCACCCUCAACUUCCAGGGAGGGAAGAGAGGAAAGAAUAAGUUGAUCAGCAACAGCCAGUGACUUCAUCAACGCGUCAGUGAAAUGAAGCCUCCUCGAAAACCCUGAAGCAUAGGAUUCAGAGAAUCCCUAGGCUGUGUAACGGGACACCCCUAGAGGGACCUCUCCUGGAGAAGGCAUCGAAGCCCCGUACUGCUUCUCCUGUCCUUUGGCCUGUCUUACUCUCUAUCCAGAGUUCAUCAGUGUCCUUUGUAACGGCCUUUAUAAUAAACUGGCAGACAUGCUCCCCUAAGUCCUGAGAGUCACUGUAGCAAAUGAAUCCCAUGGGAGGAGCGGGCUGUGUGCGCCCUGAUGUAUAGCCAGUUGUCAGAAGCACAACUCACAACCUGGAACUUGCAGAUAGCACUGAAGAAAGCAGUCUUAGGAACGGAGCUCUCAAACUGUGGGGUCAGAUGAAGCAUGCUGUUGAGAGACAGCAGAGAAGAAACGGACUUUGGGUCUGAUUUUUCCUGCAUCUUCAGAAAGGUACUUAUAACAAAAGACUUCUCAUAAAGGACAUGAACUAAAGAAAAAUAAGAAUUGGAAUGCAAUAUGAGAGCAAGAAGCUCAACAGCGCACUGAAAUUGUACUAAGCAAGUUGCCUGCUUUUUCUCUAAUCCCCAAGCAGACAAUGGAGAUCCUAAAGUCAUUCUGUGAUAAGCUUUAACAUCCACCAUAGAAAGAGCCUUUCCCAGCUAAGUAAUUCAUAAACUUUACAAGAAAAAUACAAAGGAAGUGCUGGGAAAGGUGGCUAUUUCUGAGGUCUUCGUAGAAAGAACAAGGUUAUGAAAGGAUAGAAUAAUGGAUUUCUUGUGGGUAUUUUUUAUAAAACCCUCAUGGUCUGGUGACGUUAGAGUUUUGUAUUUUAAUAAAUUCAAUCAUACAA